ensembl:lncRNA
CAGGCCGUGACUCACCAUUUUCACUACAUGGGGGAAGGGGUUCAAAAUCACAAUGGAUGUAUAUUUUCAGCAUGGAAGACUGUUAACUCCAUUACUGAGCAAUGUAAAUGAGAUUGGAAUUAACUCCAAGGCUUUCUUCUCCAUUUUUAAACUGGUUGCCUCCCACUGUGGCAGAUGCAAAUACAUAUGGGAGAAAGAACAGAACAGAUCCAUCCAGUGGGAGGACAGAAUACAUAUUGCUGUACUAUACACAACCAGGAAACAGAGUUUAUUUUUUCACAUAAAACAUGGACAUAUGUAUAUGUUUUAUGUAUGGCUUAAAAUUUUAUUUUAUUUUAUUUUCAUUUUAGUAAGCUUUACACAUAAAAUCAGGUCAAGUGAGCCAUGGCCUUCAUGUCAAUCAAUCAAAAGGAUCGUGAUUAUACAAAGAAACAAUCUGCUUUCUCCUUUUAUCAUUUUUUUAUUUAUUUCUCUAAUUCUUCUUCGUUUGUCUGUAUUCUUACUCUUAACAUCCAUAGCAGUUUCGGGUUUUUUUUUAUCAUGACAACUCUUCUUGUGGAACAUAUUUUCCAAAGUGAAUUAGUGAUAAUCAUUCAUUGCUAUCAGCUUCUGUUGAUCUUUGCAUUCAAUAGUAACAAGCUAUGUUUACAAUAAAAGAGCUAGACAGCCUGAUGGGAUAUCAUCUAGAAAGCUUCUGAAUUGUAAGAGUGUGUAAACUAUGCAAAACUAGGUCUUGCCUGAGGGGUGAGAGACAAGAAGCCUUAAAGUGGUGGCUGAAGUGAGAAACAGAGCAGUUUUUAAGAUGUUAGGAAAUUCCAAGGACAAAAACACAGCUAUGCUGGAAAUAACAGAGUCCCACUAAUCUGAAAUAAACAUCUAUGACCAUCCAGCAGAUUUGUAGACAAGAGUUGGCUCUGUCUGCUUGAAUGUUUCAUGUCACGUGGUUGUUCUUUUUUUAAUACUUUCGCUGAGUUUUCCAGGAUUUUCACAUAUCUAUCCAAAGCAGAAACAGCAAUUGGGAAAUGAUGAACUUUCAAAACGUUUUGGAAGUUUUCAGCACCUUGCCAAGAAAACAGAAAACUAAGGCAGAAGUGAAGAAGCUCAGACAGAUGACCUUUCUCUCAAACAUCUCAGCCUGUUUGCUGUUCUACGCUGUUUCCAAGAUCCAGAGUGUGCCCAGCUGCAAGCAAUCCUACAAACUGAUCAGCGCUCACCUGGAAGCUAAUUAGUGUUUGCUUGCAGUUUCACCUAGGAGUUUUAGAUCUUUGAUCGUGGCUGCAGUGUGGUAGAAAAUAUAUCAAGAAGCAACAAAAUGUUGAUUACUGUCCUAUAGUGGAAACUAAAUGGUUAUUUUACUAAUUUGCUGCUAGAAAGUUUGCUUUAUGACUCUGUCCGUGGCAUUUAGAAAACUGGUUUAACAGGGAUUGAAGCUGGAUUUCUAUGAGCUCAUCCUUGUAAAUCUUAAUAAAUGAUUUAUUCAUUUU